CCCAAAGCUCUAAAUACCACUUAGCAAGCCACGAACAGAACUGUUUCAUACAGAACAGGAAAUUAACCAAACAAAGUAAAUUCAGGACAGUCCAAUCAUUUAAUUACAACAUGAGCAGUAAGAUCUGAAUGUUCUCUUUCUAACACCAGAUUUAACAAGUUCAGAAUUUAACCAUCUUGACAACAUCAAAUCACAUUCUCAAUUGAACAUAUUUCAUUCAUGAAGAAUAAGAUACAGGGAAUAGAAAAUAAAAACAACUAUUGACUAAAAGCCUGGUAUCUAAGCAUUAUAAUCCAUGUUUUCAUUUCUUAGCUUUCAAUUGAAUGUCACAUUGUGUGAGUUUCAAAGAUAGAUACCUAGAGAAAAAAAAAGGAGAAGGUGAGGAUUGCAGCAGUAACAGCAGAGAUGAACCUACAUUCAGCAAUUUAGAACAGGGAACUUAGCUCAAAACCCAACAAAAUUGUAAUACUUCAAACAGCUUGAACCAAAAACUUUCAAAAAACCCAAUAUCAAUUCAUACUUAAUCUCAAAUGAACCAGAAAAUAUUUCAGGACUUGAAAAUUUCAAAACUCAGUAAAGAAUCAAUGAAAUAGUAGUAAUUUGGCCGUCUGAAGUUUUAUGGAUAUUUUAG
rnacentral:lncRNA from 1 species